AUUAUUUUGGCAGAUUAGUGCAUUAAAUUUAGAAUUUAAUAAUGUAAUAUUAAAAUUACAGAUAAUA
rnacentral:tRNA from 1 species